GUGACAGCAACACAGCAUCAAAAACAACAGAAAACCAAAAAAAACAGCCCCAAAAAUGAGACAAGCGAGGCUUCCUGCGGGAAGGCCCAGCAGAGCUUGUCCUGCCCUCCCUCACCCCCAGGCAGGGGACACAGGGGUGGCAGCAAGAGGAGGUUGCCUGAAGGACAUGGGAGACACUAAAUGGAAUUAAGGAAUUUGGGCAGGGCCUUGGGGUUGAACUCUCAUUGAAACAGUCACAGAAUGUGAAUGGUGAAGUGGUUACAAGACAGACAGCAGAAACCAAAACCACCCCAUUUUUUCCGUAACAGAAACCUUGUGAUUUAUCCCAUAGAUCAGCUGGAUGAGAAUCUUUGAAGGUUUUUUGGGUUGCCCCAUUUUUUUCUCCCUCCACUGCCAUAUGUGGGGAAAUUUAGAAUUUGAGGCACCCAAGGAUAUCUGAACUAAAACCCAAAGGAAAACAAUCAGAAAUGGGAGAUGCUGAAGAGUCAUCAAUAAAAAUUCUGUUCUGGUCUUGAUCAGCUGCAAAAUGAAACAUUGCAUUUCUUGUUUCUCAGUUACAGCUGGUGGAAGCUAUUUGGACACACACAGUUUAUAUUUUAGCGAGGUUUCAGAAUCCUGGUUCUCUGACACGGGUAUUACUGAAUCAAAAAUAAAAGGACUGAGGGAAUUAAUGCCUUCCUUUAAAAACGCAAAGUUUUGCACCCCACAAACUCUCAUUGCUUAGCAGCAUCCCUAGGAGGUGUUUUUAAGCUUUCUGAGGGAAUGCAUGUUCUCCAUCCCAAGUGAUCAUGAAUUGUGGAAUGGUUUGGGUUGGAAAGGACCUCAGAGAUCUCACUGCACCCCUGCCACGGGCAGGGACAUUCCCACUGUCCCACAGCUCCAUCCAGCCUGGCCCUGGACACUCCUGAUCACCAAACAAGACAUUAAUUACACAGCAAGCAGGAAGCAAAACCUCAACAUUCCAGAAUUAAAGCUUCUAAGAGAACAUCUCUGAGUAACCAAAGCCCUCAGGUGCAUGAGCACAGUCAAGGUGAUCUGUUCUAGGAACUUCUUCAUUGAAGCCUCUGAACUACAAGGAACUUUUGUAUUACCUUCCUCACUUUCAUUCCUGCUGCCUAAUUGCUGGGACCUGGUUUCCAGAUAAACGGAAUUCAGGAUAGGGCUGGAUUUGUUCUGUGUCCAGCUGUUCCAAAAUUUUCCUCCUGGCAGCCCAAUAAGGGCAGUCAUUCACCAUUUUAAUUCUGGGAAAACACAUUCCCAUAACCAAGAAUUGAGUAAGAGACACAAAUUAGUUUAACAGUGAAGAUAAUCAGGAUGUAAGAGCAGGACAUAAGUUUCUUAAUUUCUUUAGGUUCUGAAAUUUAUCAAGUGAAAAGAUUAAUGAAAGUUCCUAUUUAAA